AACCUGGUUGAUCCUGCCAGUAGUCAUAUGCUUGUCUCAAAGACUAAGCCAUGCAUGUCUAAGUAUAAGUAUUAUACAGCGAAACUGCGAAUGGCUCAUUAAAACAGUUAUAAUUUAUUUGAUAAUCGAAUUUACAUGGAUAACCGUGGUAAUUCUAGAGCUAAUACGUGCUGGUAGGCCCGACUUUUUGGAAGGGCGGUAUUUAUUAGAUAACAAACCAAUAUUCCUCUGGUCUAUUGUGGUGAAUCAUAAUAACUGAUCGAAUCGCAAGGUUUUUAACCGCGAUAAGUCAUUCCAGUUUCUGCCCCAUCAGCUUUCCGAUGGUAGUGUAUUGGACUACCCCUGGCUUUUACGGGUAACGGAGGAUUAGGGUUCGAUUCCGGAAA
rnacentral:rRNA from 1 species